rnacentral:lncRNA from 1 species
CGCAGGCUCGGCGUUGGCCUCCGCGGCCCGUGCGAGUGCGCCCUUCUCGGGUCCCCUAGGUCGCGGGACAGCCGGGGCGGAAGGGCUUGUUCAUUAUUUUGAGAGUUUGUUGUGAACGUCAUAACCCUUCGUCCUUAAAUAUUGCCGAUACUUGACCUACGCAAGAGACAAUGUCAUGUGAUUCAGCCUAAUAUCUCAGAGGAUGCAGCAUUCAAGGUUCUAUCUUGGAAGCAGAGACUGUGCCCUCACCAGAUGCUGAACCUGCUGAGCACCCUGAUCUUCCACUUCACCUUCAUCAGAACUGGUGCUAAGAAUUCUGAAUUUAUUGAGGAAAUAAAUGUUUGAUUGCAACAAAAGAAAACUUGUCUGGCUUUGGGAAGGAAGAGGCUUAGGAAAAAAAUUAAAGGCGUCUUUACUAGAAGUUCAAGACUGGGGCUGUGGCUGAGAUGUCACAUGGGAGAUAGGAUCACAAAUUUCUGUUGUAUCUGGAUGGAGAUCAGCAGGAGGAUCUAUGGGUGAGAAGAAGCACAGUUACAGAUGGAUUCUAGAGCCUGCUUGCUGACACAGGCUUGCAACUGUGGACUUUUUAAGCUUAGUUUUUAAUCUGCUAUCAGCUAGCAUAAUACCAUAAAUGCAUGAGAAACUAAGUAUUCAGUCUUAAGAGAAAUGCUACCUUGACCUGACCCUUUCUCCAAAUAAAUUGACAAAA